rnacentral:tRNA from 1 species
GGGAGUGUGGCUCAGUGGCAGAGCAUUUGUCUAGCAUGCAUGAAGCUCUGGGUUCAAUUCCCCAGAACCA